UCUUUUAUGUAAUUAUAAGUUCGGCAGUAAUAAUAAUAAAAAAGAGGGACAGGUGCACUAACACCUCAUAGCAUCACUAACUCAACAAUCUAGUAUGGUUUUCCUCAGCGUUUGCAAUAUCUGCACAAAGGAUAUGUCGGGCAGCUGCUCGAAGAUCUCGCCUUUGGAGAAAACUGUUGAUUUUAUACUCUAAAAAUAUGGUGAAUCCCACAUCCUACUGCCAUCUCAACACAGCUGAGCCAGUUCUGCUACUGCGCUGUGCUUCACAA